rnacentral:lncRNA from 1 species
AUUGAUCUGUCAUUUAUUAUAUACAUUUGUAGUACAUACAAAUUAUGAAAUUUGUGUGUAUCUGUGUUAUGACGGAUACAUCUUAAUAUUUUUCAUCUCUUUCUGACAGAAAUACGAUUUACGGCCUUAGCAAUGACCGGAAUAGCUUUAUUUAUUGUUAUUGGACUGAGUGUGGCCCUCAUAUGGAAAAGGCAAGUAACUGUUUAUGAUAUUCUCAAUUUCCUCGAAAUAUUGUUAAAGUAAAACAGCUGCAAACAGAACAAAACAUACUUUGAAAAAAAUAAGAAAAUUUAAAACUAAUUUAAACAAUAUGACAAUUAUAACACUACGUAAGAAUGUACUCUUGGCAUGACAGUAAGAAUGUCACCGUCUCUUGGUUAUGGUUCCUAUGAAAAAAAUGUAAGAAUACAAGGUCAUGUUAUCAUACACUAUUUUGUACCAAUAUUUCAUCUUUUUAAAAUCACUCAAGGACAGACUAAUGCGAACUUUCCCACGGCAUUUCGUAAAAUAGGAAAACACUGUAACCCAUCCCCUCCCCCCACCCCUGGUUCCAAACAAUAAGCCAGUUCUCAACGAUGGAAGUUCUAUAUUCAAAGUUAGACCACACCCAAUUUUACGUUAACACAAACAUAGAAUAAAACAUCGUAAUGCAUUGACUAGAUUUUCAUAUUUAGAGUAGUGAGACAUAUUCCAAAGUAAAGACAUUACUGUACCUAGCUAGAUAUAAUUAAAAAGGGUUGGGAUGACUACUUUUACUCUGCUCGGUGAAAAGGGAGUCAUGCACAUAGUCAUAUAAUAUCAAAAUCUUACUUUUUAGAAAUUUUUAACGGGUGCAACAUGUGGAGCAGGGUAUGCUCAAUCUUUUGAAUAUCUAUUCCACAACUGUUGAGAAGAAAUAUUACAAACAUGUGCUGCAUGAUUUCACAUUUGACUACUUCAUUUAUAAACUUAUUGAUGAACUUGUGCUAGUUUCAUUUUCAUCAUAUAUAAUAUGUUGUGGCAUUUUAAGAAGUCUAAUGUAUUGUUAAUGGCAGACUUUUGACUGGCGCUUUAUAUAUUGUACCUAUUUAAUUACAGUAUUACUAUAUUUGUUUUCUGUCUCUCUUUACAGAAAGGAACGGCAACCUGUAAAACACAGCAAAACAAACGGAAUGUCGAUGAAUAACAUUCCAAAGACACAUAUUCCAAAUAGAGUCGACAUACAGAAUGACAAAAGUUUCAGUUCAAUGAAUAAUUUACCAAAGCACGUGGAUUCUCAGUGAUGAAUAUUUCAGAGCAGUAUAAACUCUCAAUAAAUAGAUCGCCAGACAAAUGGAAAUCAUUGGACAAAGAUCUUCCAAAUAUUCAUAGAAUAAAAACAGAUCAUUUAGCUUGGAAUGCUGUAAAUACUCUAUGAAAAGUAAACUGGACGGACCAUCACACAAAGGUUGUACUUGUGCUGUGUUGCCUUUUCAAAAAAUGUGUUUUAUAUGACAUAUUGACAUUUUAUUUAUUUAUUUGUGUACAUGUAUUAUUAAACGUCAAACGGUUCUAAAAUUAUACUGUUACAUUCAUUAGAAGCCAUCUUCUUAUUGAAUUGACAAAAAAAAAUCAAAAUACAGCUCAACCCACCAAUGUAACUAUGAACUAAUAAUGAUAAAAACCUAAAACAUGAUACGAAACAAGUACUCUUAUGACUCUUAUUGGCUCCAUGGAUUUUGUUUUAUUCUAUAGUGACUUAUAGUAAUGCCUAACAUUUAGGAACUGUAAAAAAAAAAAUCCAACCAGGAAUACUUUUUAUUCAGUAAUGCAUUCAAAUGGAGCUAAGUUGAUUUUUUUUUUAAUUUAUUUUGUUCGAGUACCAUAUUGACUUGAAAGUUUCUUGAAUCAGUUUGUAUCACCCUUGUUUUGGGUGGAGAUCGUGUUGCCCAGUCGUAAAUUUCUAUGUUGUGUUUGGUAUGCUGUUGUUUGUCAUUUGGUCUUAAUAUAUCUGCGUUGCCGUUUAUUUUUUACCUAUGAUUUUGAAUGUCCUUUUGGACAGACCUGAUUCUUAUAUGUCCGUAUAGAUUCAC